UUAAGUUCAGCGGGUAUUCCUACCUGAUCUGAGGUCAACCUUAGAAGAGUUGGGUGUUUUACGGCAUAGCCACGCCGCUCUCCGCCUGCGAGAUAUUGCUACUACGCAGAGGAGGCCACGACGAGACCGCCACUCUAUUUCGGGGCCGGCCACCUAGAAGAAGGCAGCCGAUCCCCAACACCACAUCCAGCAAGAAAGCC
rnacentral:misc_RNA from 1 species